UGUGAAUUGAACUCAGCUCAUUAGACUCUUGUCAGAAACGCGGAGUGAGCCUUGACUAGUGAGCUGAGUGUGGUGGUGUAUGCCAAUAACCAGCACUUGGGGGAGGCUGCGGCAUGAGUGUCUGCAAGUUUGAGCAGCACUGGACUGUGGGAAAGCUACUUCUCCUGGUCAGGAGAAUGGAAUCUAUCUGGCCUCGGUGGAGACCUGACAUUGACUGUUUCCCUAACACGCUGGGCUUCAUUCUUUGUCUAGGCUCUACUCUGCAGCACAUGACUACUGGUCCAUCAUGUGGGUGAUCCCCCAGCCAGCCUAACUCCAGUGGCCCGGCUUUUUCUUCAUCUCCCUCCUCCUGACAGUUGCUGAGAUUCACAGCUGCCUGCACUGGGGGUUUUCUUUUAAGCUUUAAUAUAAUAUUCCUCAAGUUUCCUUUUGAAUCCGUUCUUCAAUUCUUCUAAGAAAAGAGACUAAGAACCCCAAGAAGGAACCUGAAUUUCCCCAGCAACACAUGGCAGCCCAGAUGAGACUCCCCCAAAUUUGAUGCACACAUUUAAAACUUUUAAUUUGAUAAAGUCCAAUUUGACUAUGUUUUCUUUGCUGUACAUGCUUUUGAUGUCAUAUAUAAGAAUCCAGGAUCAUGAUGAAUUUGUGUUUCCAUCUAAGAAGGCUAAAGUGUUAAAUUAU